ACCCUGAUUUAUGGGUAGCAGAGUAAGUUUUGAUGGAAGAAGCUGGGCAAACCAAGGCAGUUUUGCUUGUCACUGUGUGUUUUGUAAAGUGAGCUGAGACUUGCACUUUUUGUUUUAAAGUCAAUCCUUUGAAUGUAUUUACAAAAUGAAAUUCAUGGGUGAAACGCAGUGGGAGAAGAUAUGAGAGGUUUUGUGCUAAGGCUCAUGUUGUCACACAUGUAAAUAAUGAAAAUAUUGUUGUAUAUCACCAGGUCCUUUUAAAUGAAUUUGGUCAUUGUGUUCUUACGAAGCACAAAUGCCUUGUGCUUCAUAAACUGCCCAUCUGUUUCUUCCAUUUCAGCCCACCCUGUCCUCCCCCUCCAACCCAAAGGAAAGUGACAAAGUUCUGGUCCAUCAGCUUGGCCACUUUCAAACUAGGCCCAUUUAUAGCCACAGUAGAGUGUGGCUCUUAAACCACUUUCCAAGCCUUGAUCACCCCAUCCACCCAACCACCUUCCCCUGACAAGUCUGUACAAUAAAUAAUUCAAGGUGUAUUUAAAAUAUUAGUCAC
rnacentral:lncRNA from 1 species